UCACUUAUGAGACUUUAGAGCAUCUCAUACCUGUUUAGCAGUAUUAUUGUUGGAACUGUAGUAAUCAUACAGAUCAUCAGCAAAUCUAUUCAGAAUAUAAUUCUUACAUAAGUAAUUAUUAUGCUCCCAUUUGGUUAAUUCAACAGCUUUCUUAUCAUUUUUUGUUUGGUCAGUUGUUUAUGGAACAACGGGAAUGUCAUAUUUUAGAACGUUGACAACCUUUUUCAUAGUUAAGAAAAAUAAAAUCUUUUGUUACAAUCAUUUGAAGUGACAUCCCUUAAACUAAAAUGGUUUGUUGAAAUCAAAAGUAGAAUAACCUAUCCAAGUAAUUUUUGUCGAUACACAUGGCAAAAGGAAAUGUAUUAAAAUUGUUAUUUUUGAGUUUCGAAAAACUUUUAAAAAUAAAUUUAUGUCACCGAAAAUAUUAUUAGGUUGAGUCAUGAACUAAAUCGCUCACUUUAAGACAUUUCAAUCAUUGCCCAAAUUGUGUAAGACAGAUUGUCAAUCACGAAGUCUCCAGGAUAAAACAGCUCAUAUACACUAUAUCGGAGUUCUAAUGUACCGUAGAAAAUUAUUCUAGAAUUACACCCUCAAUAUGGCAGUUAGAUGGCUGCCACUCGUAAUAUGGUACUACGACCACUCGAAAGGAAGAGAAGAAUAAGUGAGAAAGAGUGGGGGAGAAGGAGAGAAAAGCCUCAUAUUCGGAGAGAUUUUGGUGUGUUUUUCCAACUUAGGAGAACCCUCUAUUUAUAGAGGAAAUCUGCAACCAGAUUAGAGAAAAAAAUGUGAUCCAUUAUGUCAGAUUCACAGAAACGUGUGCUCCUAAUUUUACUAGGUUUUUGACCAGACAAUAAACAUAUGCAUGAGUCCAAAAAUUACGGUUUGAUCGGGCACACAGAUGCGCGGAUUCAGGAAGGAAAACUGAAUCAGAUGUUAAAUGUUGACUCGGUGGAGAGAAAUUAUGUAAUCAAUGUAUCAGUGAAAUAAAAAUGCAUG
rnacentral:lncRNA from 1 species